CCGGCUUUAGUUCCAUGCGCCUUGUCCACCUCAUCCUUGCCUUCUCAAGCUCCGAGCCCAGGAGCGGAACUGAGUCUACACUGAUGGACGACCUUCCAUGGAAACCAGCUGUGAUAACAGUUAUACUACGUGCCAUUAUGAAGAGGAACUAUGAGUUCUGAAGACUUGAAAAUAUAUUCUGAAGUAGCUAGAAGACAAUGGUGCUGAGUGCCUGCCCAUAUGAAUGUAAGAAGGGCUGAGGAGGAGUGGAAAUAACAGG
rnacentral:lncRNA from 12 species